AUUGAACGCUGGCGGCAGGCCUAACACAUGCAAGUCGAGCGAGCGGCGGACGGGUGAGUAAUGUCUGUGAAACUGCCUGAUGGAGGGAGAUAACUACUGGAAACGGUAGCUCAUACCGCAUACCAUCAGAUGUGCCCCGGUGGGAUGAGCUAGUAGGUGGGGUAACGGCUCACCUAGGCGACGAUCCCUCGCUGGUCUGAGAGGAUGACCAGCCACACUGGAACUGAGACACGGUCCAGACUCCUACGGGAGGCAGCAGUGGGGAAUAUUGCACAAUGGGCGAAAGCCUGAUGCAGCCAAGCCGCGUGUGUGAAGAAGGCCUUCGGGUUGUAAAGCACUUUCAGCGGGGAGGCGUUACCCACAGAAGAAGCACCGGCUAACUCCGUGCCAGCAGCCGCGGUAAUAC
rnacentral:rRNA from 1 species